rnacentral:tRNA from 1 species
AGCAGAGUGGCUAAGUGGAUAGAGCCUGGAAAUUAGAAGGACCUGGGUUCUAAUCCCUGUUCUGCCA